rnacentral:rRNA from 1 species
GACGAACGCUGGCGGCGGGCUUAACACAUGCAAGUCGAACGGAAAGGCCCUGCUUUUUUGGUGUUCUCGAGUGGCGAACGGGUGAGUAACACGUGAGUAACCUGCCCUUGACUUUGGGAUAACUUCAGGAAACUGGGGCUAAUACCGGAUAGGAGCUCCUGCUGCAUGGUGGGGGUUGGAAAGUUUCGGCGGGUGGGGAUGGACUGGCGGCUUAUCAGCUUGUUGGUUGGGUAGUGGCUUACCAAGGCUUUGACGGGUAGGCGGCAUGAGAGGGUGACCGGGCUCCAGGGGACUGCGAUACGGCGCAGACUGCUACGGGAGGCAGUAGUGGGGAGUCUUGCACAAUGGGCGGACGCGUGAUGCAGAAACGCUGCGUGCGGGAUGACGGCCUGCGGGUUGUAAACCGCUUUCGCCUGUGACGAAGCGUGAGUGACGGUAAUGGAUAAAGAAGCACCGGCUAACUACGUG